UUCAUACUGAAUUAAUGGCGAUUUCAAACUGCAGUGUAAAAUUUUCCUCCACGGAAGCAGGUAUCCUUAUGCACAUUGGUUGCAGUCUGCGUUUGCGAUUUCGCGUACAAAUGACUGCGUAUGACACGUGACAUUACAACCACAAAGAGCAUUUGAAAAAUCUCUCCGACACCCCAGAACCAAAACAACGCAGAUAAACUUUCCUUGGCUCUUUGAAGCCAUAAUUUUGAAAGUUAGCUAAAAACGUAGCAGCCCCUGGACCGACCCGCAAUGGAGCGCAGCUGAAGAAGUUGCCGAUGAGGCACGGCGAUGUCACGUUACGACUCCUUCGUUCCUUCGUUUGUUUGUUUGUUUGUUUGUUCAUCUCUUGUUC